GAAAACUUGGAAACUACCGUUGGAUCGAGAAAUGAACGUUCGAGAUUCGUCCACGUCACCCUAAGUUAAAAUUUAACUCGCAGAUUCACUCAUGAGUUAAAAUUUUACUAGGAGUUAAAUAAAUUUUAACUCAUGGUCACGUGGACGAAUCUCGGACAUCCAUUUCUCGAUCCAACGGUAGUUUCCAUGUUUCC
rnacentral:pre_miRNA from 1 species